rnacentral:piRNA from 1 species
UGGGAUCAAAAGUGUGCACCACUACAUUUG